UCCGUAGGUGAACCUGCGGAAGGAUCAUUACAAAUCUGUGGGUCUGGGUGUGGGUGGUGCAGACUGGCUGACGCUGGUUGGCGCUACACACACGACACGACACAUUGGCACGGGGCCGCAAGGACCCGAUGUUUACGCUUGUAUGUUUGACAGAUCAAUGCAUGUGAACAAAGACAACUUUUAACAAUGGAUCUCUUGGCUCUUGCAACGAUGAAGAACGCAGUAAAGUGCGAUAUGUAGUGCGAUUUGCAUGAAUCUGUGAGUCAUCUAAUCUUUGAACGCAACUUGCGCCUCGCCGAGGCAUGUCUGUUUGAGUGCCGCAUCUCUAUGCAGCAAUGCGAUCUGACCCUGUCGGUGCGCGACCCGGUCCAAACGUAGCCAGCUAGUGGCCCGCGCAGGCUAGCCCGAGUGCUAAGCAUUCUUGGUCUAGGCGAGCGGGCCUGGCGGGGGAGGGGUGUGUGUGGGAGCGUGUGUGUGUGUGGUGUGUGUGUGUGUCGCAUCCGGUGCGUCACGGCCCGGCGGCCACCACCGGCCCGGCGGCGGCACGGCGGCCCACUCCAUCCCGGUCUCCGGGGGCCGGA
rnacentral:rRNA from 1 species